rnacentral:snRNA from 1 species
GUGCUCACUUCGGCAGCACAUAUACUAGAUUUCAAGUGAUACAGAGAAGAUUAGCAUGGCCCCUGUGCAAAGAUGACAUGCAGAUUCGUGAAGCAUUCCAUAUUAAA